CCUAACACAUGCAAGUCGAACGGUAACAGGAAACAGCUUGCUGUUUCGCUGACGAGUGGCGGACGGGUGAGUAAUGUCUGGGAAACUGCCCGAUGGAGGGGGAUAACUACUGGAAACGGUAGCUAAUACCGCAUAACGUCGCAAGACCAAAGAGGGGGACCUUCGGGCCUCUUGCCAUCAGAUGUGCCCAGAUGGGAUUAGCCAGUAGGUGGGGUAACGGCUCACCUAGGCGACGAUCCCUAGCUGGUCUGAGAGGAUGACCAGCCACACUGGAACUGAGACACGGUCCAGACUCCUACGGGAGGCAGCAGUGGGGAAUAUUGCACAAUGGGCGCAAGCCUGAUGCAGCCAUGCCGCGUGUAUGAAGAAGGCCUUCGGGUUGUAAAGACUUUCAGCGGGGAGGAAGGGAGUAAAGUUAAUACCUUUGCUCAUUGACGUUACCCGCAGAAGAAGCACCGGCUAACUCCGUGCCAGCAGCCGCGGUAAUACGGAGGGUGCAAGCGUUAAUCGGAAUUACUGGGCGUAAAGCGCACGCAGGCGGUUUGUUAAGUCAGAUGUGAAAUCCCCGGGCUCAACCUGGGAACUGCAUCUGAUACUGGCAAGCUUG
rnacentral:rRNA from 1 species